CUCCGGCCAUAUCAAGUUGAAACACCGAUUCUAGUACAAUCACCGAAGUUAAGCAAUGUCAAGCCUGGUCAGUAUUUAAAUAGGUGAUCGCUUGGGAAUAUCGGGUUCUGUAAG